rnacentral:tRNA from 1 species
CCUUUCCAGGGAGACCUAACUUCAGUAAUAGAGGUAGACUCUAUUUGUCUACAAAAACAUCUCAAUUACUUACUGAAGUCAUCCCAGGUCGAGCGAAGCUAUUAUGACAGCGGCUUUCAAACUAUUAAUGGUUCGUUAUGGGCUAUUAGCUCAGGUGGUUAGAGCGCACCCCUGAUAAGGGUGAGGUCCCUGGUUCAAGUCCAGGAUAGCCCACCUAAUAAUCUAUUAAAAGAAAUAGUCUUGGGGGUAUAGCUCAGUUGGUAGAGCGCUGCCUUUGCACGGCAGAAGUCAGCGGUUCGAGUCCGCUUACCUCCACUCCGAUUAUGGAGAUAAAAAUCUAAAUCGUCAAUAGAAAGUUCAGCAAGAGACCCAAGUCGAACUGCUGGAUUUCCAUCCAGUCAGAACCUUGAAAACUGCAUAAAGUCAAAAGUCAGGUAAGUCUAAAAAAACAGACAAGGUCAAGCUAUAAAGGGCUAACGGUGAAUACCUAGGCACACAGAGGCGAAG